rnacentral:rRNA from 1 species
AUGGCGGCAGAGGAGAUAUCACACUGGCAGCCGGUGCGGUCAUGGUCGUCCAUCCCGCUCGACCUGGCUGGCAUGGUGCUCCGCCUGCUCCACUCGUACGCCAACCGCGCCCGCUUCGCCGCGGUGUGGUUCGCUCGUGGAGGGACGGUGGUGGCACAGAAGAAACCCAAUUUGCAGCCGCCGGCGCUGUCGUGGUCGUCCAUCCCGCUCGACCUGGCUGGCCUGGUGCUCCGCCUGCUCCCCGCGCACGCCGACCGUGCCCGCUUCGCGUCAGUGUGCCCGCAGUGGCGUGCCGCCGCGAGGCAGCAGCUGCUGCCACCGCCACUGCCGCUGCUUGCGCUCCCUGAUGGCACCUUCUACAGCCUCCCCUAUACCAAGCCCUUCCGUUUCCCUGGCUGCGGCUUCGCCGGGUACCAGAGUGCCUGCGGCAGCUGGCUUGUCUUCCCCCGCGACGACGGGUGCUUCCUGGUUGAUCCCUUCUCUAGGGAAACAGUGACGCUCCCUCCUCUCUCCAGCGUCCGACUCCGGCCUCCAAAUGCAGUCGCUAAAUGGUCGUAUGAGCAUGGGGCAAAAGUAGCUGACCCUUAUGUCACAUGGAUGCAUAUGAAGGACUCAGACAAGCUGCACAUAAGUAAGCUAGUCGUGUGCUCACCAAAUCUUGUUGCUGCCCUUGUCGGCAUUGGAUACACCAGUCAGAUUCUAAUGUGCCAGCCAGGGGCCUUGUCGUGGUCAGUACGUGCGUACGAUCGGUGCAAGAGGUUUGAAGACAUGUCAUUCUACCAGGGCAAGCUCUACGCCCUCACCAAAGGCGAGAACCUUCUUGUCGUGAACAUCAGCGACGACCAUAGCACCGGGGAUCCACAGGUUUCUCGUAUUGGACAAGCCAUCAAGGGUGAUCCAUGGUAUUCAAUUGCGUUCACCAACAACACUAUGCUCUGCAAGAAGCUCUACCUGGUUGAAUCCUGUGGGGCACUGCUGAUGGUACGCAGGACGAUUGUGUGCCGGGUUCCUGAACCUGGGCUGUAUAGUGAAGCUGUUGCUGGAUGGAGUGCGUUUGAGGUUUUCAAGGCUGACUUUGAGCAUUCGCGGUGGGUCAGUGUGUCUACCGUGGGGGCUAACCAGGUGUUGUUUCUAGGGCGAAGGUGCUCCAGGGCUGUGUCCUUGUCUCCGUAUGGGGUCCUGGGUGCAGGUGAUCAGAUCUCGUUCUUGGAUGAUGAUGAGGAAAAUUGUAUGGAGUAUGGGUAUGGCUAUGACAAGGAGAACGCUUCUUUUGGCACCUAUGACAUAAGAUCUGGCGGGUUCAGUUCUGUUCACCCAAAGAUUUCAUGGAAGCGUGGCGAUGAAAUGCGUCUGGCAGCAUGGCUCUUCCCUCAUGACUGA